rnacentral:RNase_P_RNA from 1 species
AGCGUUGGCUGGAUGAUCGCGCGGUUUGGUUUCAAAUCGUGAGGAAAGUCCGGACACCACAGGGCAGGACGGUCGCUAACGGCGACCCGCGAGAAGCAAAUUCAAAGCGCGGAACAGGGCCACAGAAAUAAACCGCUUCGCAAGAAGUCAGGGUGAAAAGGUGCGGUAAGAGCGCACCGGCAUGGUGGCGACAUCGUGUGUCAAGGCAACCUCCGUCCGGUGCAAGACCAAGCAGAAAACGAUGACGCGGCCCGCCGAGUUUUCGGGUUGGUCGCUGCGGGGAGGAGAAAUCCUUCACGUCACGGCGCGAGCAAUCGCGGCGGCAGAGAAAUGAUCAUCGGCGCUCCAAACGAAAGUUGCGAGCGUCACAGAAUCCGGCUUACAGGCCAACGCUUCAC